GGCAACCGGCCCCAUAUAUCUAAGGUAAAGGGCGUUUACUCGGUUUGUGCUCGACCAUAGGGAAAGGUUCGUUGUGCGUGUAGAGGGCUCCGCAGCGUUGAUCCUAAUGGUGACGGCUGUGAUGACGAUCCUGAAUAAACGAGAGACUUUCUAUCCCGAGAAUUUCAUUUGAUCUUAUCUAAGUGACCUUUGCUCUGGGGCUUCGGAGCUUCCUUGACUUUCCGAGCUCUUCUAUGAGUCCUGCCCCUACCUAAUCUUUCGUUCGAUUGCCCACUAAACAAGCAAGAAACUACGGCUACCUGCUUAAUCCAU
rnacentral:misc_RNA from 1 species